rnacentral:rRNA from 1 species
UCUGCUAAAGAGGAGGAAGGGAAUGGGCAACGGUAGGUCAGCAUGCCCCGAAUUAUCCGGGCUACACGCGGGCUACAAUGGUCAGGACAAUGGGUAUCGACACCGAGAGGUGGAGGCAAUCUCCUAAACCUGUCCUUAGUUCGGAUUGUGGGCUGCAACUCGCCCACAUGAAGCUGGAAUCCGUAGUAAUCGCGUUUCAAAAUAGCGCGGUGAAUAUGUCCCUGCUCCUU